rnacentral:rRNA from 1 species
ACAGCCCCGUACACAAAAAUGCACAUGCUGUGAGCUCGAUGAGUAGGGCGGGACACGUGGUAUCCUGUCUGAAUAUGGGGGGACCAUCCUCCAAGGCUAAAUACUCCUGACUGACCGAUAGUGAACCAGUACCGUGAGGGAAAGGCGAAAAGAACCCCGGCGAGGGGAGUGAAAAAGAACCUGAAACCGUGUACGUACAAGCAGUGGGAGCACAGAGCAAUCUGUGUGACUGCGUACCUUUUGUAUAAUGGGUCAGCGACUUAUAUUCUGUAGCAAGGUUAACCGAAUAGGGGAGCCGAAGGGAAACCGAGUCUUAACUGGGCGUUAAGUUGCAGGGUAUAGACCCGAAACCCGGUGAUCUAGCCAUGGGCAGGUUGAAGGUUGGGUAACACUAACUGGAGGACCGAACCGACUAAUGUUGAAAAAUUAGCGGAUGACUUGUGGCUGGGGGUGAAAGGCCAAUCAAACCGGGAGAUAGCUGGUUCUCCCCGAAAGCUAUUUAGGUAGCGCCUCGUGAAUUCAUCUCCGGGGGUAGAGCACUGUUUCGGCAAGGGGGUCAUCCCGACUUACCAACCCGAUGCAAACUGCGAAUACCGGAGAAUGUUAUCACGGGAGACACACGGCGGGUGCUAACGUCCGUCGUGAAGAGGGAAACAACCCAGACCGCCAGCUAAGGUCCCAAAGUCAUGGUUAAGUGGGAAACGAUGUGGGAAGGCCCAGACAGCCAGGAUGUUGGCUUAGAAGCAGCCAUCAUUUAAAGAAAGCGUAAUAGCUCACUGGUCGAGUCGGCCUGCGCGGAAGAUGUAACGGGGCUAAACCAUGCACCGAAGCUGCGGCAGCGACGCUUAUGCGUUGUUGGGUAGGGGAGCGUUCUGUAAGCCUGUGAAGGUGUACUGUGAGGUAUGCUGG